UCCAGACUCCUACGGGAGGCAGCAGUGAGGAAUAUUGGUCAAUGGGCGGGAGCCUGAACCAGCCAAGUCGCGUGAGGGAAGACGGUCCUAUGGAUUGUAAACCUCUUUAGGCGGGGAGCAAUGCCGGGCACGCGUGUCCGGAGGGAGAGUACCCGCAGAAUAAGCAUCGGCUAACUCCGUGCCAGCAGCCGCGGUAAUACGUAGGGGGCAAGCGUUAUCCGGAUUUACUGGGUGUAAAGGGAGCGUAGACGGCGAUGCAAGUCUGAAGUGAAAGCCCGGGGCUCAACCCCGGGACUGCUUUGGAAACUGUAUGGCUGGAGUGCUGGAGAGGCAAGCGGAAUUCCUAGUGUAGCGGUGAAAUGCGUAGAUAUCAGGAGGAACACCGGCGGCGAAGGCGGCCUGCUGGACCGCGACUGACGUUGAGGCUCGAAAGCGUGGGGAGCAAGCAGGAUUAGAUACCCGCGUA
rnacentral:rRNA from 1 species